rnacentral:tRNA from 5 species
UUUAUAAAGAACAAUCUUUUUUUAGAAA